GACGAACGCUGGCGGCGUGCUUAACACAUGCAAGUCGAGCGGUAAGGCCCGUUUCGGGGGUACACGAGCGGCGAACGGGUGAGUAACACGUGGGUGACCUCGCCCUCAGCUCUGGGAUAAGCCUGGGAAACUGGGUCUAAUACUGGAUAUGACUCCACGGUGCAUGUCGUGGGGUGGAAAGCCUUGUGCGGCUGAGGAGUC
rnacentral:rRNA from 1 species